CGGCUACAUUUUCUGCUCUUCUAUUCCAGAGAGACGAUGGAGGAAUGUUUGAUGAUGAGAAGCCAUUUGUCUUUGCACGCAAUACUCGACAUGAGGAAAUUGGAAAGAAUGUUCAACAUUUAUUGAGAAUCGAAGAGUUUAUAGCGAAGUUCAUGAGCAGAUAUAAAACAAGAGUGAAAAAUAAUGGAAGCGAACAAAAGGAUACUGCCGCAUAAAGGGAUCUCUGUGAAUCUUUUGGCUCAUAUAGAUAUCCUCACUGCAGGGACAUGAAUCAAGCUGUUUUUGCAACAAUCAGUUGUUUUUGUUUGGCAAGCUUGAAAACGUGGCUUGAAUAUUUAGCCAAGGAAAAUAUGAAAUAAGCUGACAUGUCAAACAAAAGGUGUGACAGCGAUUCCACUGAAGUCGUGUGAAUAUGGUUCAUAUUUUGACUCC